UACGGAGGGUGCAAGCGUUAUUCGGAUUUACUGGGCGUAAAGGGCGCGUAGGCGGUCUGAUAAGUCAGUUGUGAAAGCCCGGGGCUCAACCCCGGAAGUGCAAUUGAAACUGUCAGGCUUGAGUAUGGUAGAGGGAAGUGGAAUUCCUGGUGUAGCGGUGAAAUGCGUAGAUAUCAGGAGGAACACCGGUGGCGAAGGCGACUUCCUGGACCAAUACUGACGCUGAGGCGCGAAGGUGUGGGGAGCAAACAGGAUUAGAUACCCCCGUA
rnacentral:rRNA from 1 species